rnacentral:rRNA from 1 species
AUUGAACGCUGGCGGCAUGCCUUACACAUGCAAGUCGAACGGCAGCACGGGAGCUUGCUCCUGGUGGCGAGUGGCGAACGGGUGAGUAAUACAUCGGAACGUACCCAGUAGUGGGGGAUAACGCACCGAAAGGUGCGCUAAUACCGCAUACGACCUACGGGUGAAAGCGGGGGACCGUAAGGCCUCGCGCUAUUGGAGCGGCCGAUGUCUGAUUAGCUAGUUGGCGGGGUAAAGGCCCACCAAGGCGACGAUCAGUAGCUGGUCUGAGAGGACGAUCAGCCACACCGGGACUGAGACACGGCCCAGACUCCUACGGGAGGCAGCAGUGGGGAAUUUUGGACAAUGGGGGCAACCCUGAUCCAGCAAUGCCGCGUGUGCGAAGAAGGCCUUCGGGUUGUAAAGCACUUUUGUCAGGGAAGAAAUCUUUUGGGCUAAUACCCCGGAAGGAUGACGGUACCUGAAGAAUAAGCACCGGCUAACUACGUGCCAGCAGCCGCCGUAA